rnacentral:rRNA from 1 species
CGUAGGGAGACAGGUGGUGGCAUGGUUGUCGUCAGCUCGUGUCGUGAGAUGUUGGGUUAAGUCCCGCAACGAGCGCAACCCCUAUGUUUAGUUGCUAACGAGUAAGGUCGAGCACUCUAGACAGACUGCCGGUGACAAACCGGAGGAAGGUGGGGAUGACGUCAAAUCAUCAUGCCCCUUAUGUCUUGGGCUACACACGUAAUACAAUGGCCGGUACAGACGGAAGCGAAGCCGUGAGGUGAAGCGAAUCCGAGAAAGCCGGUCUCAGUUCGGAUUGUUCUCUGCAACUCGAGAACAUGAAGUCGGAAUCGCUAGUAAUCGCAGGUCAGCAUACUGCGGUGAAUACGUUCCCGGGCCUU